AGGGUCAGUCGGGAUUCGAAUCCAUGACCACUCGCACCCGAAGCGAGUAUCAUGCCCUAGACCACUGACCU
rnacentral:tRNA from 1 species